UACGUAGGUGGCAAGCGUUGUCCGGAUUUACUGGGCGUAAAGAGCGCGCAGGCGGUCGUUCAAGUCGCGUGUGAAAGCCCCCGGCUCAACUGGGGAGGGUCACGCGAUACUGAUCGACUCGAAGGCAGGAGAGGGUAGUGGAAUUCCCGGUGUAGUGGUGAAAUUCGUAGAUAUUAGGAAGAACACCAGUGGCGAAGGCGGCCACCUGGCUCGGUACUGACGCUCAGGUUCAAAAGCGUGGGGAGCAAACAGG
rnacentral:rRNA from 1 species